GACGUAGGGCGCGAGCGUUGUCCGGAUUUAUUGGGCGUAAAGAGCUCGUGAGGCGGCUUGUCGCGUCGACUGUGAAACCCGGUGGCUACCACCAUGUGGCUGACAGUCGAUGACGGGCAGGCUAGAAUUCGGGUAGGGGAGACGUAGGCAAUUCCUGGUGUAGCGGUAGGUGAAUGCGCAGAUAUCAGGAGGAACACCGAGUGGCGAAGCAGGUCUCUGGGCCACUACUGAC
rnacentral:rRNA from 1 species